rnacentral:lncRNA from 1 species
ACUACAUUCAAAGCAUUGUUUUAAUUGAUUACUUGUGAACUAGUAAGUAGUGGCUUUAAUUAAGUAUGUGCUUACGAGUAAAGAAAACUCAAAUAUGUGGGGAUAACAAUCUUUAACAUGUCAUGUGCAUUGGAAAUCCCUGAGGCAAAUGUGGAAGGUUUAGGUUUUGUUUUGGUUAGUUUGUUUCGUUUUGUUUCCUUUCUUUUGUUUGUUUUGCUCGAGGACUAGCAAAAGCUAAGUGUGGGGGAAUUUGACAGGAGCAUAUUUAUGCUACUUAAUUGGCUUGUUCUCGUGCAUUUAAGUUGUGUUUACUUAGCUAUUU